UUAUUUGAAGUACCAGAGCAAAUUUCCCACAGGUGGGAUCAAUAAAGUUUUUCUGAUUCUGAACUGUAUUCCAAAAUAAUUUUCUCAACCUUAAAGAUUGCAGGUUAACACAGGAAGUUACCUUUCACAAUAUGCAGCUACUGAGUAGCAAUUAAGGAUGCUGUGGACAUUGGACGACAGACUAACUUAAACCAGGCAGAGCAGGAAACUGUUGGAGUUGUUGUUCCCUCUGUGGCUUGUCCUCUCUCCUCUCAGACCUGUUCAACCCUUGUGGGACAUCAGAAAACCAUGGCCAAGACAUUAACAUUUAUGUACUGAUCUAUGCAUGUCAUCACAGCAGGAUGUAACAAAAACUAACAAUGUGAACAGAUCUCAUCUGCCUUACAAAAUACUGCCCCCCUUAAGAAAAUAAAUGGCUAAUAAUCACCACUGGUAUUUUGUAAAGCUUCAUUUUUUAAUGUUUGACCAUUGAAUGUGUUUUGUACAAAAGACUGAUGGUUUUGCAAAGAUCUCUGAAACACAGAUUCAAGUGCAUUAGAUUCUGUGAAAUUCUGAACCACAAUUCAGAGAAAUUAAAAUAACUGUUUUUAAAACUCCUUAAAAGACUUGAGGUGGAAAAGUCACUGUUUUCGUACAGGCACUAAGAAAUGGGAAGCAGACAGUGUGGUCAAAAUGGACAACUAUUUUAAAGGCUUCUCUUUCAGUUGACAGGAGAUGUCUGUGAGCCUGCUGGACAGCCUUUGCAUCACACUGGGACGUCUUUGGGGCCUGCAUCUGGAAAGAAACAAAAACAGCAAAGUUAAUUAACCAAAAAAA